rnacentral:rRNA from 1 species
CAGUCGCCGCGGGAAAACGUAGGUGGCAAGCGUUGUCCGGAUUUAUUGGGCGUAAAGCGAGCGCAGGCGGUUCCUUAAGUCUGAUGUGAUAGCCCACGGCUCAACCGUGGAAGGUCAUUGGAAACUGGGGAACUUGAGUGCAGAAGAGGAGAGUGGAAUUCCAUGUGUAGCGGUGAAAUGCGUAGAUAUAUGGAGGAACACCAGUGGCGAAGGCGACUCUCUGGUCUGUAACUGACGCUGAGGCUCGAAAGCGUGGGGAGCAAACAGGAUUAGAGACCCCGGUAGUCCCUGUCUCUUAUAC